rnacentral:rRNA from 1 species
UACGUAGGGGGCGAGCGUUGUCCGGAAUCAUUGGGCGUAAAGCGCGUGUAGGCGGCUCGAUAAGUCCGGUGUGAAACCUUGGGGCUCAACCCCAAGCCUGCACUGGAUACUGCCGAGCUAGAGUCCGGGAGGGGAGAGCGGAAUUCCUAGUGUAGCGGUGAAAUGCGCAGAUAUCAGGAGGAACACCAGCGGCGAAGGCGGCGCGCUGGGCCGGAACUGACGCUGAGGAGCGAAAGCGUGGGGAGCGAACAGG